rnacentral:rRNA from 1 species
AACGAACGCUGGCGGCAGGCCUAACACAUGCAAGUCGAACGAGAAGCCACCUUCGGGUGGUGGAAAGUGGCAGACGGGUGAGUAACACGUGGGAACGUGCCCUUUGGUUCGGAACAACUCUGGGAAACUGGAGCUAAUACCGGAUAAGCCCUACGGGGGAAAGAUUUAUCGCCGAAGGAUCGGCCCGCGUCUGAUUAGCCUGUUGGUGAGGUAAUGGCUCACCAAGGCGACGAUCAGUAGCUGGUCUGAGAGGAUGAUCAGCCACACUGGGACUGAGACACGGCCCAGACUCCUACGGGAGGCAGCAGUGGGGAAUAUUGGACAAUGGGCGCAAGCCUGAUCCAGCCAUGCCGCGUGAGUGAUGACGGCCUUAGGGUUGUAAAGCUCUUUCGCCAGGGACGAUAAUGACGGUACCUGGAUAAGAAGCCCCGGCUAACUUCGUGCCAGCAGCCGCCGUAA